rnacentral:lncRNA from 1 species
UCCCCCUCAAUUCAGUGCAAAAAUAAUGGCCGUCUGGUGCGUUGAUUGUUGUGAUGGUGAGAUGACAAACAAUUCUCUUUCUCAGUUUUUUGACAACUGCAGCUGAAGUUUUCGUGUUCCCUGAGUGUUCUUGGCAUUGAGAGAUGGAAUGGUCCCAUUCAACAUUACAACCUGUGUCUUUCAUUCUCCCAGGAAUUUUUAUUUUCAAGGUUUAUCGUGUAUGUUCGCGUAGUUGCUGUCCGCUGUGGUACGUUGUUGCAGCCUGGUGAUGGAUCUUUCUAAUUCAAUUGGUCGUUCCUUGGUGCUGAUUACCGAAGUUGCAUUAUUAAUUUUAUUAUCUUAUUAAAUUGGCAGUAUGUCGUCAAUGUAGUUUUUACCGUUAAUAUGUUAAGAAGGAACAAAAAAAGAAAUAUGGGGAUGUUUAUGUCAAACAAAUAAUAAACAUGUUUUCGGGAUUGGGAAAGGAUAGCGGAGGAUGUUGGAGGGGGAUAUUUCAAGUUUGGUAAAAAAAUCAGUUAAUCUAUAACCCUACAAACAUAUCCACACUAAUUAGUCUCCAAACCCCACAAACUUAUUCUUUCCAAUUCUUCAGACCCCACAAACAUACAUCUACCAACCCUCAAAUUUGUACCCUAAACCACAUAAACCAAUGUUGAACCCUAUCAAAAUACUAGAUUAGGAAGAAGACACACACAUUUACACUUACACACCCAACACGCACUCCAAUCACACACCAAAAUAUAAUCGAAUCCAAAUAAUAAA